rnacentral:lncRNA from 1 species
CUCCCUGCUCCCAAGAAGAGCUCUCAAGGCUCAGUUGGCCGAGAGCAGCACUGUGACUCAGAUGAUGGCAAACCCCUGGUCCUCCUGGCUGGGCCCCAGCUCCAGUAUCUUUUUGGUGGAUAUGAUCCUGGGCUUUGUGUAUGAACUGGGGCUCUUCCUUCUGUUACUGCCCUACCUCCCAGGUGAACAAUCCUUACCACCAUCAAGGAAAGAAAAACAUCGGAAAGAUGAAUCUGUAACUGUGUAUUGCACAGCCAACAAUUUCUGAGCACAAGUGUUCCUUCAACUAAGUUUCCAGAGGCAAAGAGCUAUACAUGAGGGACACCACACCCAGCCCAGAAAACCGUACGUGUUCCAAGAGUCUAGGUGCAACCAAAACAACUUCCCAUGUGAGAUCCAGUGUAUUUAUGGAUCCUCAUAAUGUUAAUAAACAGUAUCAAUAGAAAAUUUUGUGGAAGUAUGGAAAAGAGGUAACAUAAUAAAAUCUAACUAAAAUGAAUAACAUACUGGACUUCACAAAUGAAAAAUAAUAUAACAGAUAUAAUUCAUAAAUAAAAAGUCAUUAAAGGAUAUUUGACAUAUAAAAAUGAAUUCAUCAUAAAUUAAAUUUAAAUUCUAGUUCUCAAAAAAGUGAGUUAUAUAGUUAGCAAUUCAAUAAAUUCAGACAAAUGUACAUUUUCUAAGAACCACGGAAAUCUAUAUGGUGAAAUCUAGAACUAUUUUGGGUGGACUAUCAUUUGAAUAAAAAAUUUUGACCACAGAGAACACUGAAUAAAACUACAAAAGAGGCAAUGAAUUAUAAAUUCUAGUUAAAAUAUAAACAGCAUAUUGGAAUUUGCAAUAUUAAAAUAGAUUAAGAAACAUAACUACUAUAUACAUAUAUAUUAAGGUGGAAAAAUUCAGCAUGAAAUCAAAGGUAAUACAGUUAAGAAUCCAAUAAAUUUAAGUAAAUUAUAAAACUGAAAUAUACGUUAGUACUGUAUAGUCAACUAAAGCCUAAAUAACAAAAGUGGAAUGCAAUAUACUAAAUAGUAUACAAAGGCUGUGCAAGAUAUCAUGAGAUGGAAAACUGUAUAGUAUUUAGAAUUCAGUAAAAGAAACAAAUAUAAAGUGGAACAUUUCUCCGCAAAUCACCAAGGCUAUUCACUGCCAAGGGGAAGGAUGUCAAUUACAACAAUAUGGAUGACAAUAAAAAGAAUGGAAAGGGGCAUUAGCAAGGGUUGGAGUGAGCUCAGUGGGGAGGAGUAAAGGAUUAAAGAGAACCAAGUUGCUUUGUCCAUGCAAAUACUCCUCAGAUGAAUGCAAACUUUAGGUACUGCAAAUACGUACUAAUAAAAUAAAAUUUGAAAAAGAAAACAGAAAGAAAAAAUAAAAUGAUAUGUACGCAUAUCUUUCAUUAACUAAAAAUUAAGUACAAAG